rnacentral:rRNA from 1 species
GAUGAACGCUGGCGGCGUGCCUAAUACAUGCAAGUCGAGCGAACAGACGAGGAGCUUGCUCCUCUGACGUUAGCGGCGGACGGGUGAGUAACACGUGGAUAACCUACCUAUAAGACUGGGAUAACUUCGGGAAACCGGAGCUAAUACCGGAUAAUAUAUUGAACCGCAUGGUUCAAUAGUGAAAGACGGUUUUGCUGUCACUUAUAGAUGGAUCCGCGCCGCAUUAGCUAGUUGGUAAGGUAACGGCUUACCAAGGCGACGAUGCGUAGCCGACCUGAGAGGGUGAUCGGCCACACUGGAACUGAGACACGGUCCAGACUCCUACGGGAGGCAGCAGUAGGGAAUCUUCCGCAAUGGGUGAAAGCUUGACGGAGCAACGCCGCGUGAGUGAUGAAGGUCUUCGGAUCGUAAAACUCUGUUAUUAGGGAAGAACAAAUGUGUAAGUAACUAUGCACGUCUUGACGGUACCUAAUCAGAAAGCCACGGCUAACUACGUG